GACGAACGCUGGCGGCGUGCUUAACACAUGCAAGUCGAGCGGUAAGGCCCUUUCGGGGGUACACGAGCGGCGAACGGGUGAGUAACACGUGGGUGACCUGCCCUCAGCUCUGGGAUAAGCCUGGGAAACCGGGUCUAAUACUGGAUAUGACUCCAUGACGCAUGUUGUGGGGUGGAAAGCCUUGUGCGGCUGAGGAUGGGCCCGCGGCCUAUCAGCUUGUUGGUGGGGUGANGGCCUGCCAAGGCGACGACGGGUAGCCGGCCUGAGAGGGCGACCGGCCACACUGGGACUGAGACACGGCCCAGACUCCUACGGGAGGCAGCAGUGGGGAAUCUUGCGCAAUGGGCGAAAGCCUGACGCAGCGACGCCACGUGAGGGAUGACGGCCU
rnacentral:rRNA from 1 species